AUUGAACGCUGGCGGCAGGCUUAACACAUGCAAGUCGAGCGGGGAGAUGUAGCUUGCCACAUUUCCUAGCGGCGGACGGGUGAGUAAUGCUUAGGAAUCUGCCUAUUAGUGGGGGACAACAUUCCGAAAGGAAUGCUAAUACCGCAUACGCCCUACGGGGGAAAGCAGGGGAUCUUCGGCCCUUGCGCUAAUAGAUGAGCCUAAGUCAGAUUAGCUAGUUGGUGGGGUAAAGGCCUACCAAGGCGACGAUCUGUAGCGGGUCUGAGAGGAGGAUCCGCCACACUGGGACUGAGACACGGCCCAGACUCCUACGGGAGGCAGCAGUGGGGAAUAUUGGACAAUGGGCGAAAGCCUGAUCCAGCCAUGCCGCGUGUGUGAAGAAGGCCUUUUGGUUGUAAGGCACUUUAAGCGAGGAGGAGGCUACUUGGAUUAAUACUCUAGGAUAGUGGACGUUACUCGCAGAAUAAGCACCGGCUAACUCUGUGCCAGCAGCCGCCGUAAGAC
rnacentral:rRNA from 1 species